GCGGACGUAGCUCAAUGGUAGAGCCCCAGCCUUCCAAGCUGGUCAUGCGGGUUCGAUUCCCGUCGUCCGCU
rnacentral:tRNA from 1 species